rnacentral:rRNA from 1 species
GGUGAAAAGCACCCCGGAAGGGGAGUGAAAUAGAACCUGAAACCGUGUGCUUACAAGUAGUCAGAGCCCGUUAAUGGGUGAUGGCGUGCCUUUUGUAGAAUGAACCGGCGAGUUACGAUUUGAUGCAAGGUUAAGCAGUAAAUGUGGAGCCGUAGCGAAAGCGAGUCUGAAUAGGGCGUUUAGUAUUUGGUCGUAGACCCGAAACCAGGUGAUCUACCCUUGGUCAGGUUGAAGUUCAGGUAACACUGAAUGGAGGACCGAACCGACUUACGUUGAAAAGUGAGCGGAUGAACUGAGGGUAGCGGAGAAAUUCCAAUCGAACCUGGAGAUAGCUGGUUCUCUCCGAAAUAGCUUUAGGGCUAGCCUCAAGUGAUGAUUAUUGGAGGUAGAGCACUGUUUGGACGAGGGGCCCCUCUCGGGUUACCGAAUUCAGACAAACUCCGAAUGCCAAUUAAUUUAACUUGGGAGUCAGAACAUGGGUGAUAAGGUCCGUGUUCGAAAGGGAAACAGCCCAGACCACCAGCUAAGGUCCCAAAAUAUAUGUUAAGUGGAAAAGGAUGUGGCGUUGCCCAGACAACUAGGAUGUUGGCUUAGAAGCAGCCAUCAUUUAAAGAGUGCGUAAUAGCUCACUAGUCGAGUGACACUGCGCCGAAAAUGUACCGGGGCUAAACAUAUUACCGAAGCUGUGGAUUGUCCUUUGGACAAUGGUAGGAGAGCGUUCUAAGGGCGUUGAAGCAUGAUCGUAAGGACAUGUGGAGCGCUUAGAAGUGAGAAUGCCGGUGUGAGUAGCGAAAGACGGGUGAGAAUCCCGUCCACCGAUUGACUAAGGUUUCCAGAGGAAGGCUCGUCCGCUCUGGGUUAGUCGGGUCCUAAGCUGAGGCCGACAGGCGUAGGCGAUGGAUAACAGGUUGAUAUUCCUGUACCACCUAUA